GGAGGUGGCUAGCGUUGUUCGGAUUCAUUGGGUGUAAAGGGCAUGUAGGUGGCUCUGUAAGUCAGACGUGAAAUCCCUUGGCUCAACCAAGGAACUGCAUCUGAAACUGCAGAGCUUGAGUACAGGAGAGGAGAAUGGAAUUCCCGGUGUAAGAGUGAAAUCUGUAGAGAUCGGGAGGAACACCAGUGGCGAAGGCGAUUCUCUGGACUGUUACUGACACUGAAAUGCGAAAGCUAGGGGAGCAAACAGGAUUAGAUACCCUGGUAGUCCCUAGCCCGUAAACGAUGGGUACUAGGUGUAGGUCCCUUAAAGGAUCUGUGCCGCAGUUAACACAUUAAGUACCCCCACCCUGGGACUACGACCGCAAGGUUA
rnacentral:rRNA from 1 species